CACCGCGGUUAUACGAGAGGCCCAGGUCGAUAGCCUACGGCGUAAAGAGUGGUUAAGACACGCAAUUAAUUAAAGCCGAAUGCCCCCAAAGCUGUUAUACGCUUCCGGAGGUAAGAAGAACCACCACGAAAGUGGCUUUAUAUAAUCUGAACCCACGAAAGCUAGGGAA
rnacentral:rRNA from 1 species